UCUAAUGUAAGGUGGGUGGCUCCCUCCUCCUGCCAUGUGUGGCUGAAAAAGACUCCAAAGGCCAAACUAGGAUAAGAUCAGCUCCUUCUUUGAUUAAUCAUUCUACUUCUGUUAGUAGAGAGUCUAGAGAAGCCUCUACAGGCAGUCACGUGUGUGUAUCUUUAUGGACCCUUCUGUUUCUCUGCAAUAUUCUCCAUCUUUCUCUUGUCUCGUAUAUAAAAGCCAAACACCCCCUUCUAAAACCCACCAAUUCCCACCUUCUGAUCCACUCCUCCCCGACUCUUAAUUUGCUGGUUUCUGCUUGCAAAUAUGAGUGAGACCAAGUAUGCUUAUCCAUACCCUGCACAAGGUUAUUAUGGGGAGCCUCCGGUGAUGGCACCACCGCCUCAGUACGCUGCAGCUCCGCCACCAAAGCCAAGCUUCCUUGAUGGAUGGUAUGAGGAAUAUUCAGCUACUAAUACAUUUACUUGCAAUUGAUUUGAGUAAUAGAUUCUUCUAAGUUGUAACAGAAAGAGAUUUUUGAUGCAUGUUGUAAUCCCACCCAUCAUUUUGUGACCUGAGUUUGUGAUAAGAAAUUGAGACGGGGUUUUGUUUGGAGGCCUUUGUAAUGAGAAAAUAAUUUUCUUUUUGAA